ACCUGGCUGGCUCAGUCAGAGCAUGAGACUCUUGAUCUUGGGGUCAUGAGUUCAAGCCCCAUGUUGGGUA
rnacentral:tRNA from 1 species